rnacentral:lncRNA from 1 species
AUAUAAUUUUUUUUUUUUCGAUAUAAACAUUUAAAGCACCAUAUCUAUUAGUUUUAGUUUUUUAAAAAAAAAUCAAUUUAAACAAUUAAAACUUUUGAUCUCUAUUGCAUGUGGUGUACAAAAAUAAUAGGGAUAAUUGUCUAUAUACUUUUCAUACAUUUGAAAAUAUCCGAUUUAUUUUAAUUUUAUUUUUCUUUCUAAAAUGUCCCUCAUAUAUUUGACCGUUAUUGUAAAAUACUUCUGCAGUUAUCUUCUGUUAAGUUAAUUUGUGUUAAACGUAAGUUAAAUAUUUAUGCCCCACGUAUGCCGAUUUUGCUCUUAACUUAAGGGCAAAUAAGAAAUGUUGAGGACGGUAGAGAGGUAUAUUGGAAAAGAUCAAAAGUAAAAAUAUUUUUUGUGCCCCUGACUUUAAGGGCAAAAAAAAAAGUCAGUAAUGACGGAAGAGUAUAUUUGAAAGGGCAAAAUAGUAAUUUUACAGAAAUAACAGAGUUAAUUAACAGAUUUUAACUCUAGUGAUAUAUUAGAAAUAGGUUGGAAAGUAAAGAGAGUAUUUUCAAUAUUAGUCUUUUAAGAGGGGUAAAUCGGAAAGUCGAAAACUUUUCAGAAAUAUAUAAACAAUUGCCCCAAAAUAAUAAUAAUAAUAUAAUAAUAAUAAUAUAAUAAUAAUAAGGGGUGGUUCUUGAUGAUGUGGUGGACUUGGCCUAGGGAAUAAUUUUGGAG